rnacentral:rRNA from 1 species
CGAAGGGUGCUAGCGUUGUUCGGAAUCACUGGGCGUAAAGCGUGCGUAGGCGGCUUUGCAAGUCAAGGGUGAAAUCCCACAGCUCAACUGUGGAAUUGCCUCUGAAACUGCAUAGCUGGAGUAUUGGAGGGGUCAGGGGAAUUCCUAAUGUAGUGGUGAAAUACGUAGAUAUUAGGAGGAACACCGGUGGCGAAGGCGCCUGACUGGACAAUAACUGACGCUGAGGCACGAAAGCGUGGGGAUCAAACAGGAUUAGAUACCCUGGUAGUCCACGCUGUAAACGAUGGGUGCUAGCCGUCGGGGGGGUUACCUCUCGGUGGCGCAGCUAACGCGUUAAGCACCCCGCCUGGGGAGUACGGUCGCAAGAUUA